UACGUAGGCAGCGAGCGUUGUUCGGAAUUACUGGGCGUAAAGAGCUCGUAGGUGGUUUGUCGCGUUGUUCGUGAAAACUCACAGCUUAACUGUGGGCGUGCGGGCGAUACGGGCAGACUGGAGUACUGCAGGGGAGACUGGAAUUCCUGGUGUAGCGGUGGAAUGCGCAGAUAUCAGGAGGAACACCGGUGGCGAAGGCGGGUCUCUGGGCAGUAACUGACGCUGAGGAGCGAAAGCGUGGGGAGCGAACAGG
rnacentral:rRNA from 1 species